rnacentral:rRNA from 1 species
AGCGAACGCUGGCGGCAGGCUUAACACAUGCAAGUCGAGCGGGCACUUUCGGGUGUCAGUGGCGGACGGGUGAGUAACGCGUGGGAACGUGCCCUCUGGUUCGGAAUAACUCAGGGAAACUUGAGCUAAUACCGGAUACGCCCUUUUGGGGAAAGGCUUGCUGCCGGAGGAUCGGCCCGCGUCUGAUUAGCUAGUUGGUGAGGUAACGGCUCACCAAGGCGACGAUCAGUAGCUGGUCUGAGAGGAUGAUCAGCCACACUGGGACUGAGACACGGCCCAGACUCCUACGGGAGGCAGCAGUGGGGAAUAUUGGACAAUGGGCGCAAGCCUGAUCCAGCCAUGCCGCGUGAGUGAUGAAGGCCUUAGGGUUGUAAAGCUCUUUUAUCCGGGACGAUAAUGACGGUACCGGAGGAAUAAGCCCCGGCUAACUUCGUG